GGCUUCGUGGCCCAAUGGCAAGGCGUCUGACUACGACAGACCAUCAUUCCGAUGGUGGAUUCUGAAGGAUAAUCAGGAGAUUCUGGGUUCGACCCCCAGCGAGGUCA